AGAGUUUGAUCCUGGCUCAGAACGACGCUGGCGGCGCGUUUAAGCAUGCAAGUCGAGCGGCAAGGGCCUUCGGGCCCCUAGAGCGGCGGACGGGUGAGUAACACGUGGACAAUCUGCCCCCCGGCCCGGGAUAGCCCAGGGAAACCUGGAUUAAUACCGGAUGAGACGGGACCCGCGAUGGCGGGACCCGGGAAAGGCGCUGCGGCGCCGCCGGGGGAUGAGUCUGCGUCCCAUUAGCUAGACGGCGGGGUAACGGCCCACCGUGGCGACGAUGGGUAGCCGGCCUGAGAGGGUGGACGGCCACAUUGGAACUGAGACACGGUCCAGACUCCUACGGGAGGCAGCAGCUAAGAAUCUUCCGCAAUGGGCGAAAGCCUGACGGAGCGACGCCCGCGUGAACGAAGAAGGCCGUGAGGUUGUAAAGUUCUUUUCGGGAGGGGGAACAACCGUGGCAGGGAAUGGCCGCGGGAUGACGUGAAUCCCGGAAUAAGCCCCGGCUAACUACGUGCCAGCAGCAGC
rnacentral:rRNA from 1 species